rnacentral:rRNA from 1 species
CCUACGGGGGUCAGCAGUGAGGAAUAUUGGUCAAUGGGCGGGAGCCUGAACCAGCCAAGCCGCGUGAGGGAAGAAGGUACAGCGUAUCGUAAACCUCUUUUGUCAGGGAACAAAGGCGGGGACUAGUCCCCGGUUGAGGGUACCUGAAGAAAAAGCAUCGGCUAACUCCGUGCCAGCAGCCGCGGUAAUACGGAGGAUGCGAGCGUUAUCCGGAUUUAUUGGGUUAAAGGGGUGCGCAGUGGGCCUGUUAAGUCAGCGGGAAAAGCCGGGGGCUAAACCCCGGAGAGCCGUUGAAACUGGCAGGCUGGAGUUGGAGAGAAGUAGGCGGAAUGCGCGGUGUAGCGGUGAAAUGCUUAGAUAUCGCGCAGAACCCCGAUUGCGAAGGCAGCGUACCGGCUCCACACUGACGCUGAGGCACGAAAGCGUGGGUAUCGAACAGGAUUAGAUACCCGGGUAGUC